rnacentral:rRNA from 1 species
CCUACGGGAGGCAGCAGUGGGGAAUCUUCCGCAAUGGGCGAAAGCCUGACGGAGCAACGCCGCGUGAUCGAAUGAAGGCCUUCGGGUUGUAAAGAUCUGUUGACAGGGACGAAUAAGCCAUGCGAAUAGUUUGGUGUAUGACGGUACCUGUUUAGAAAGCUCCGGCUAACUACGUGCCAGCAGCCGCGGUAAUACGUAGGGAGCAAGCGUUGUCCGGACUUACUGGGCGGAAGGGGCGCGUAGGUGGGUGCUUAAGUCAGGUGUGAAAACUCUGGGCUCAACCUGGGUACUGCACUGGAAACGGGAGAUCUUGAGGGCAGGAGAGGAAGGUGGAAUGCCUAGUGUAGCGGUGAAAUGCGUAGAGAUUAGGAGGAACACCAGCGGCGAAGGAGACUUUCUGGACUGUACCUGACGUUGAGGCGCGAAAGCGUGUGGAGCGAACGGGAUUAGAUACCCUUGUAGUC